GUAAAAAUAUAAAAUCUGAAUUACUGAGGAGACAGACAGACAGACAGAUAGAUAGAUUAAUCUUCUGUGGAAGGGUGGAAGAACACCUCACUUCUAAGAAUGCAUUACCUGUGUUGAACUGUCAUUCCUUUCAUUCCAAUUCAACUUCCUGUAGAAUGUGGCCAUUUCAAUUAAAAUUCCAACUGAUGAGUUGAAAUCUGAAUUGGGAAAAUUCUGAAAAUUCAGAUGACCACAUGCCAGAUACCAGCUGCACUUCGUUUAAAACCACAUUUGAAAGUGGCCCAAAUUGGGUGUGGAAAGAGAUUUUUAUCAGUUUUAUUUUCUGUUCCAACAUUUUUAACUACAAAACCAAAGUUUGUCAAGAAGACAAACUAUGAAAAUUUGCAUGACAAACCCUGUGUGAAAGAUUCAUUGGCCUUGAGAACAACAGAUUGAUAUAGACAGAUAUAAAUAGAAUGACAGAUGGAAGAUAUAAUGAUAGAUCGAUACAACAAUAGACAAACAUGGAUGGAUGGAUGGACAGAAAAGCUGUAGAAUUAACAAAUGAUCCAUAGAUAGAUAGAUAGAUGAGCUCAUUUGGUUAUAUUUAUUUCAGACAUCAUCAGACCCUUACAGAGAACUUCACAGAACUGUUCUCACCCCCAGUGUUUAUUUAGCUAAUUACAGUAAAUUAUUCUUCCAGCCACCAGUAAGACUCUAGUUUAAACAUGCAGAUUUUCUCCCAUAAAAAUCAGCACAGAAAAUACAAAUAAAAUGUGCAUAUUCUGUCUGUGCCUGGACAUAGUCGACUGUUUACAGUGAUUACACAUAUAAAGAUGUUGAGCGGGUCACACAGAUGCUGGUCAGCAUCACACGGAUCAUUUCAGUAUGGUUCGAUCCGCUUUUGGAGCAUUUGGUUUCCCAAAAAGCUGGUAACUACAUAAAACAGGCUGUGAGACUAUGACGAAGGAUUACUGUAAUAGGUUUAUGUUGUUUGACAUGCAGAGGCAGCGGAUUUGAACAUUUCUAAAAUAAAUAAAGUUCUUGCUCUUAUUGCUCACCAAUGGUGGCAAACGUGCUCCCAUGAUUCAUACACAGACAUUUCCAAAGGUUCACUGAACGCCAAACAUGAUUUUAGACCAAGUCUGACUAUAUACAGUAAAAAUAUAAAAUCUGAAUUCUGAGGAGACAGACAGACAGACAGAUAGAUAGAUAAUCUUCUGUGGAAGGGUGGAAGAACACCUCACUUCUAAGAAUGCAUUACCUGUGUUGAACUGUCAUUCCUUUCAUUCCAAUUCAACUUCCUGUAGAAUGUGGCCAUUUCAAUUAAAAUUCCAACUGAUGAGUUGAAAUCUGAAUUGGGAAAAUUCUGAAAAUUCAGAUGACCACAUGCCAGAUACCAGCUGCACUUCGUUUAAAACCACAUUUGAAAGUGGCCCAAAUUGGGUGUGGAAAGAGAUUUUUAUCAGUUUUAUUUUCUGUUCCAACACCAUUGUCAUGUCCACCAUUAGCGUCCCUAUGAGAACUAAUACACCACCACUCCUUAUCUUUCCCUUUGCAGUUAGACAUUAAAAGCUGGAGUGAUAAGGUUCUUUGUAGUGCGGCUCAGUUUGAUGAGGUAUUCACAGGCAAAGCUUGCUAAGACUUGCUGCUGGGGUGGGUAUGCUAAAAUUAGUAAGUCCCACUGCUCUCAGAGCGACUGAUAAACAGAAGGAGAGAAAGAGAAUGGUGAGUGAGACGGAGAAAGAUAGAUGAGGGGGACUGCCAUCACCAAACCUUUUUAUUGAAAACUUUGUACCACUGUCAUGCCAAUAAAACACUCUUAAAAUGAAUUAUGACGAUUGGGAAUGAUAAGAAAGGACAGGAAGAUUGAGUG
rnacentral:lncRNA from 1 species